rnacentral:rRNA from 1 species
UACGAAGGGGGCUAGCGUUGUUCGGAAUUACUGGGCGUAAAGCGCACGUAGGCGGAUAUUUAAGUCAGGGGUGAAAUCCCGGGGCUCAACCCCGGAACUGCCUUUGAUACUGGGUAUCUCGAGUCCGAGAGAGGUGAGUGGAAUUCCGAGUGUAGAGGUGAAAAUUCGUAGAUAUUCGGAGGAACACCAGUGGCGAAGGCGGCUCACUGGCUCGGUACUGACGCUGAGGUGCGAAAGCGUGGGGAGCAAACAGG